CGAGUCUUGAGCCAUUGCGUCUGCGUCGUCGCGCUCAAUCUCUCCCUCCUCGUCCCUCACCCCAUCGGCAAUCUCCACAUGAUCUCGCCCUUCUAGAGGCACGCCGCGUUGUCUACAAAUCGACGAGUGAGGGGCCGCGGGCCUGGAGGCGGAGCGUAUUUCCCCUUGAUCAGUUUUUUAAAAACAGGGACCUACAUUGGCACCCAUGUCACCUCAGCAACCGCAAUUACGAGUUCCCGAGGUGGCCGAGAAUCUCGACGGAUGGGGCCCUCCUGAUGAAAAUGCCACCCUGCCAUCCCAGCUUCAGAAUGUCCCCUAUGCACCUUUCAUCAAGAGUACACACCUAGGCCGUGCUUCUGACUGGACUCGCAACCCUCCUAACCGCUUCAAUCAGAACCGUGGCGAUGGUGUCUUUGAUUACUUCUUCGAUGAGCAAGACGAAGAAUCUUUCCGACUCGUAGAUGGGAAACCUCCUGCACGUCCCAAGUUUGGCCCCAGGUGGCGUUUCCAGCAGAAGCCGCAGUUGCCGCAACGGAAGGACGAAGAAGAUGCCAGAAGAAAAGAGGCUGAGAAAGAAAGACUGCGGCGGGAUAAGUUUUACAACCAGAACAGGAACUUACAAAGGAGGGAGACGGCCACUUUCAAAAGUUCUGUUGAUAUCCAACCUGAUUGGACAAUUCUUGAGCAAAUUCCAUUUUCAACUUUUGCCAAGCUCAAUUAUUCUGUUGGAGAGGCAGAGGAUCUUGCGCUCUGUGGAGCCCUUGAGUUUUACGACAAGACGUACGACCGUGUGACACCUAAGAGCGAGAGACGGCUUGAAAGGUUCAAAAACAGAAACUUCUUUAAGGUCACCACUACUGAUGAUCCUGUUAUUCGACGCUUAGCAAGUGAAGACAUGGCCACAGUAUUCGCUACAGACUCAAUUCUGUCAACUCUUAUGUGCUCUCCUCGAUCUGUCUACUCUUGGGAUAUUGUGGUGCAAAGAGUGGGCAAUAAGCUUUUCUUCGACAAGCGAGAUGGCUCACAGCUGGAUCUGCUGACUGUGAAUGAGACUGCUCAAGAAUCCCUUCCCGAAGGCAAGGACGAUAUCAAUUCUGCUCAAAACCUGAGCAUGGAAGCUACCGUUAUCAAUCAGAACUUCUCUCAGCAGAUCCUUAUCAAAGAUGGAAACAAGUUCAACUUCCAAGAGCCGAACCCUUUUGCUUCCGAGGGAGAGGAGGUCGCUUCUGUAGCAUACAGGUAUCGUCGAUGGAAACUGGACGAGAACAUCUCUUUGGUUGCAAGAUGUGAGGUCCAAAGUCUGAUGGAAGUGAAGGGUCAGAGAACACUUAUGACCUUGAAUGCUUUGAACGAAUUCGACUCCAAAUUUACUGGUGUCGACUGGCGUCAAAAGCUGGAAACUCAGAAGGGAGCAGUUCUUGCUACCGAGCUGAAGAACAACAACAACAAGGUGGCAAAGUGGACUGCUCAAGCCUUACUUGCAAGCGCAGAAGUCAUGAAGAUUGGUUACGUCUCUCGUCUCCACCCCAGAGAUCCUUACAAUCACGUCAUUUUGGGUGUACAAGGUUACAAGCCAAAAGAAUUUGCUGGGCAGAUCAAUUUGAACUUGAACAACAUGUGGGGUAUUGUCAAGUCAGUUAUUGACAUUUGCAUGAAGCUAGACGAAGGAAAAUAUGUGUUGGUGAAGGAUCCCAUCAAGCCUCAAGUACGUCUCUAUGAGGUCCCGGCAGAUUCCUUUGAGAAUGACUACUUGGAGGAGCCAAUUCCAGAGGAGGAGCAAAUGCAACCUGUGCCUGUUGAGGAGCCUAUUGUGCAGCCAGUUACUGAAGACAAGGAGGCUGAAGUCGAUGCGGACGUUUGAGAAAAUUCACUAGAUUUGUUUAUCACGUGUUUUGAUCCGUCUUCAGUUGACGAUGUAUGCUUUAGUAGGUGGUUUAGUAUCUUCAUUGGUUCCAUGGGAACGUUCUAUGUUGAGUUGGGAUGAAAUUGAGCUUCUAGUUUGCGUGGUCGAAGAAGAGCUCUUUCUAAACACAUUUUUAUAUUCAUGUUCUUGUGUCUCGCUUAGUGUUUCUUGCAGGGAAUAUGUCAGAUAUCUGGUCUAGACAAAUCAUGUUAAGAGGGAAUCAGUACUCGAUGAGCACAAAUUUGAGUAUCAUGUGGAGGUCCCUUCGCCAAACAAACAGAAUACAGUAAUAGUCUCUGACCACGACUUGGAAGAAGAGGAGCAGUCUGAUAUAAAAGACAAUAAUCCCCCUGUCUGAGACGGCGACAUUAUACGUGAGAAGUUGUCGGGAAGGCUACUGUAAAUGUGGCUUGUUACUCUGACACUAAUGAAUAGAAUUUUCAUUUAGAAAAUAGAAGUUUAUUUUCCCAGUCGGGAAUGACAAUUACCCACGUACAUCCAAUUGUAGAUAGUAGAAUAUGAAGUUUAGUGCUAAUCCGUUUGGAGAGUGUUCCAUCGACCCAUGAAGUGGAACAAAAUAUGAGUUGCGCUGCAUAUGUGGCAAGCAACAAAAUUGUUAUAAAGAAACUGAAAGCUAA